rnacentral:rRNA from 1 species
AGUGAACGCUGGCGGUAGGCCUAACACAUGCAAGUCGAACGGCAGCACAGUAAGAGCUUGCUCUUACGGGUGGCGAGUGGCGGACGGGUGAGGAAUACAUCGGAAUCUACUUUUUCGUGGGGGAUAACGUAGGGAAACUUACGCUAAUACCGCAUACGACCUACGGGUGAAAGCAGGGGAUCUUCGGACCUUGCGCGAUUGAAUGAGCCAAUGUCGGAUUAGCUAGUUGGCGGGGUAAAGGCCCACCAAGGCGACGAUCCGUAGCUGGUCUGAGAGGAUGAUCAGCCACACUGGAACUGAGACACGGUCCAGACUCCUACAGGAGGCAGCAGUGGGGAAUAUUGGACAAUGGGCGCAAGCCUGAUCCAGCCAUACCGCGUGGGUGAAGAAGGCCUUCGGGUUGUAAAGCCCUUUUGUUGGGAAAGAAAAGCAGCAGGUUAAUACCCCGCUGUUCUGACGGUACCCAAAGAAUAAGCACCGGCUAACUUCGUG